rnacentral:tRNA from 1 species
UGAGAUGUAGCUCUGUUAGUAGAGUAUUUGUUUAGCAUGCAUGAAGCCCUGGGUUUGAUCCCCAGCACCAUAU